CCUACGGGGGGCUGCAGUGAGGAAUAUUGGUCAAUGGGCGUAAGCCUGAACCAGCCAAGUCGCGUGAGUGAUGAAGGUUCUAUGGAUCGUAAACCUCUUUUAUCAGGGAAUAAAGUGUGGGACGUGUCCUCUUUUGUAUGUACCUUAUGAAUAAGGAUCGGCUAACUCCGUGCCAGCAGCCGCGGUAAUACGGAGGAUCCGAGCGUUAUCCGGAUUUAUUGGGGUUAAAGGGUGCGUAGGCGGCCUUUUAAGUCAGCGGUGAAAGUCAGGGGCUCAACCAUAGAAUUGCCGUUGAAACUGGGGAGCUUGAGUAUGGUAGAGGCAGGCGGAAUGCGAGGUGUAGCGGUGAAAUGCGUAGAGAUGACGAAGAAUACCGAUUGCGAAGGCAGCCUGC
rnacentral:rRNA from 1 species